rnacentral:piRNA from 1 species
AAACUGCGUACAAGAAUUCCUCAGCCACUGC